rnacentral:lncRNA from 1 species
CUUGCAAUUUGGAAUGGAGGGAGUAGUAUAUAUGCAAUUGAGGUUGUAUAUAAUCAUUAAAGAAAGGAAAACAUGGAACUAAGAAGGCUAGGAUGUGUGAAAUCAGUUGACUUAUACCAUAUGGCUUUAUACUAACACAAGGUAAGUGGUUGGAACAAUAUAAUGUGACUUGAUGACUGAAUAGAGCAUAUAGAACAUAAAUGAAAUACUUUAAGAAACACGUGCUCUUUUUAUGUCAAGUAAGUAUUCUAAUGUUUCAUUAUUGGGGUACCUAAGUUGGUUAUAAGAUACCUAAGCCUACUCAUGUUUACAAACUUGCAUAACAUAAGGAAAGAAGUAUAAAAGAUAAGAGGAAGUGCACACAUGUAUAAAAUUUAUGACAAUAGCAACAAAUGUAGGAACUUACCAUUCUUUUUAUUUUAAUCAUACUCUAUUUGUAAUUUUCCUUGAGAUGAUCUUGUGGCCUUUUGAUAAGGCGUCUCAUUUAUUAUCCCUCUACUACGCAAACUUUCAUGCUU